AUAUUUCAUACCUUUCUAGAAACUGGGUGUGAUCUCACUGUUGGUAAAGCCCAGCCCUUCCCAACCUGCAAGCUCACCUUCCAGGACUGGGCCCAGCCCAUGCUCUCCAUAUAUAAGCUGCUGCCCCGAGCCUGAUUCCUAGUCCUGCUUCUCUUCCCUCUCUCCUCCAGCCUCUCACACUCUCCUCAGCUCUCUCAUCUCCUGGAACCAUGGCCAGCACAUCCACCACCAUCAGGAGCCACAGCAGCAGCCGCCGGGGUUUCAGUGCCAACUCAGCCAGGCUCCCUGGGGUCAGCCGCUCUGGCUUCAGCAGCGUCUCCGUGUCCCGCUCCAGGGGCAGUGGUGGCCUGGGUGGUGCAUGUGGAGGAGCUGGCUUUGGCAGCCGCAGUCUGUAUGGCCUGGGGGGCUCCAAGAGGAUCUCCAUUGGAGGGGGCAGCUGUGCCAUCAGUGGCGGCUAUGGCAGCAGAGCCGGAGGCAGCUAUGGCUUUGGUGGCGCCGGGAGUGGAUUUGGUUUCGGUGGUGGAGCCGGCAUUGGCUUUGGUCUGGGUGGUGGAGCCGGCCUUGCUGGUGGCUUUGGGGGCCCUGGCUUCCCUGUGUGCCCCCCUGGAGGCAUCCAAGAGGUCACCGUCAACCAGAGUCUCCUGACUCCCCUCAACCUGCAAAUCGAUCCCACCAUCCAGCGGGUGCGGGCUGAGGAGCGUGAACAGAUCAAGACCCUCAACAACAAGUUUGCCUCCUUCAUCGACAAGGUGCGGUUCCUGGAGCAGCAGAACAAGGUUCUGGAAACAAAGUGGACCCUGCUGCAGGAGCAGGGCACCAAGACUGUGAGGCAGAACCUGGAGCCGUUGUUCGAGCAGUACAUCAACAACCUCAGGAGGCAGCUGGACAGCAUUGUCGGGGAACGGGGCCGCCUGGACUCAGAGCUCAGAGGCAUGCAGGACCUGGUGGAGGACUUCAAGAACAAAUAUGAGGAUGAAAUCAACAAGCGCACAGCAGCAGAGAAUGAAUUUGUGACUCUGAAGAAGGAUGUGGAUGCUGCCUACAUGAACAAGGUUGAACUGCAAGCCAAGGCAGACACUCUCACAGACGAGAUCAACUUCCUGAGAGCCUUGUAUGAUGCAGAGCUGUCCCAGAUGCAGACCCACAUCUCAGACACAUCUGUGGUGCUGUCCAUGGACAACAACCGCAACCUGGACCUGGACAGCAUCAUCGCUGAGGUCAAGGCCCAAUAUGAGGAGAUUGCUCAGAGAAGCCGGGCUGAGGCUGAGUCCUGGUACCAGACCAAGUACGAGGAGCUGCAGGUCACAGCAGGCAGACAUGGGGACGACCUGCGCAACACCAAGCAGGAGAUUGCUGAGAUCAACCGCAUGAUCCAGAGGCUGAGAUCUGAGAUCGACCACGUCAAGAAGCAGUGCGCCAACCUGCAGGCCGCCAUUGCUGAUGCUGAGCAGCGUGGGGAGAUGGCCCUCAAGGAUGCCAAGAACAAGCUGGAAGGGCUGGAGGAUGCCCUGCAGAAGGCCAAGCAGGACCUGGCCCGGCUGCUGAAGGAGUACCAGGAGCUGAUGAAUGUCAAGCUGGCCCUGGACGUGGAGAUCGCCACCUACCGCAAGCUGCUGGAGGGUGAGGAGUGCAGGCUGAAUGGCGAAGGCGUUGGACAAGUCAACAUCUCUGUGGUGCAGUCCACCGUCUCCAGUGGCUAUGGCGGUGCCAGUGGUGUCGGCAGUGGCUUAGGCCUGGGUGGAGGAAGCAGCUACUCCUAUGGCAGUGGUCUUGGCGUUGGAGGUGGCUUCAGUUCCAGCAGUGGCAGAGCCAUUGGGGGUGGCCUCAGCUCUGUUGGAGGCGGCAGUUCCACCAUCAAGUACACCACCACCUCCUCCUCCAGCAGGAAGAGCUAUAAGCACUAAAGUGCGUCUGCUAGCUCUCGGUCCCACAGUCCUCAGGCCCCUCUCUGGCUGCAGAGCCCUCUCCUCAGGUUGCCUUUCCUCUCCUGGCCUCCAGUCUCCCCUGCUGUCCCAGGUAGAGCUGGGUAUGGAUGCUUAGUGCCCUCACUUCUUCUCUCUCUCUCUAUACCAUCUGAGCACCCAUUGCUCACCAUCAGAUCAACCUCUGAUUUUACAUCAUGAUGUAAUCACCACUGGAGCUUCACUGUUACUAAAUUAUUAAUUUCUUGCCUCCAGUGUUCUAUCUCUGAGGCUGAGCAUUAUAAGAAAAUGACCUCUGCUCCUUUUCAUUGCAGAAAAUUGCCAGGGGCUUAUUUCAGAACAACUUCCACUUACUUUCCACUGGCUCUCAAACUCUCUAACUUAUAAGUGUUGUGAACCCCCACCCAGGCAGUAUCCAUGAAAGCACAAGUGACUAGUCCUAUGAUGUACAAAGCCUGUAUCUCUGUGAUGAUUUCUGUGCUCUUCGCUGUUUGCAAUUGCUAAAUAAAGCAGAUUUAUAAUACAAUA
rnacentral:misc_RNA from 1 species